rnacentral:rRNA from 1 species
AGUGAACGCUGGCGGUAGGCCUAACACAUGCAAGUCGAACGGCAGCACAGUAAGAGCUUGCUCUUACGGGUGGCGAGUGGCGGACGGGUGAGGAAUACAUCGGAAUCUACUUUUUCGUGGGGGAUAACGUAGGGAAACUUACGCUAAUACCGCAUACGACCUACGGGUGAAAGCAGGGGAUCUUCGGACCUUGCGCGAUUGAAUGAGCCGAUGUCGGAUUAGCUAGUUGGCGGGGUAAAGGCCCACCAAGGCGACGAUCCGUAGCUGGUCUGAGAGGAUGAUCAGCCACACUGGCACUGAGACACGGUCCAGACUCCUACGGGAGGCAGCAGUGGGGAAUAUUGGACGAUGGGCGAAAGCCUGAUCCAGCCAUACCGCGUGGGUGAUGAAGGCCUUAGGGUUGUAAAGCCCUUUUGUUGGGAAAGAAAAGCAGCAGGUUAACCCCCCGCUGUUCUGACGGUACCCAAAGAAUAAGCACCGGCUAACUUCGUG